GCCAGACUCCUACGGGAGGCAGCAGUGGGGAAUAUUGCACAAUGGGGGAAACCCUGAUGCAGCGACGCCGCGUGAGUGAAGAAGUAUUUCGGUAUGUAAAGCUCUAUCAGCAGGGAAGAAAAUGACGGUACCUGACUAAGAAGCCCCGGCUAACUACGUGCCAGCAGCCGCGGUAAUACGUAGGGGGCAAGCGUUAUCCGGAUUUACUGGGUGUAAAGGGAGCGUAGACGGCAGCGCAAGUCUGAAGUGAAAUCCCAUGGCUUAACCAUGGAACUGCUUUGGAAACUGUGCAGCUGGAGUGUAGGAGAGGUAAGCGGAAUUCCUAGUGUAGCGGUGAAAUGCGUAGAUAUUAGGAGGAACACCAGUGGCGAAGGCGGCUUACUGGACUGUAACUGACGUUGAGGCUCGAAAGCGUGGGGAGCAAACAGGAUUAGAUACCCGCGUA
rnacentral:rRNA from 1 species